UCUCUCCAGCCCCCAAAGGUUCUGUUAUUACAGAGAAAAUUAGCAUGGCCCUGUGCAAGGACAACACAGAAAUUUAUAAGUAUUCCAUAUUUUU
rnacentral:snRNA from 1 species